rnacentral:pre_miRNA from 1 species
AGUGGGAUUGCUAGGUCAUAUGGUAACCACGUUUAACUUUGUAAGAAACUGCCAAACUGUUUUCCAAAAUGACUGUACCAUUUACAUUACCAAGAGCAAU